rnacentral:rRNA from 1 species
GAUGAACGCUGGCGGCGUGCCUAAUACAUGCAAGUCGAACGAACAGGCCCGGAUCUUGCUCCUUUGACGUUAGCGGCGGAGGUGUGAAUCACACGUAGAUCCCCUACCUAUAAGACUGAGAUCACUUCGGAAAACCGGCGCUAAUCCCAGAGAAUAUUUCGCUCCACAUGGUUCGAUGGUGAAAGAUGGCUUUGCUGUCACUUCUCGCUGCUCCUGCGCCGUAUGAGGUGGUUGUUAAGGUAACGGCUUAGCACGGCAACGAUUCGUAGGCGACGGAAGAGAGUGAUCGGCCACAUGGGAACGGAGACACGGUCAAGACUCCUAAGGGAGGCAGCAGUAGGGAACGUGACGCAAUGGGCGAAAGCCUUACGGAGUAACGGGGAGUGAGUGACGAAGGUCUUCGGAGCGUAAAACUCGGCUACUAGGGAAGAACAAAUGUGUAAUGAAAUGUGCACGGCGUGACGGUACCUAAUCAGAAAGCCACGGCUAACUACGUG